rnacentral:rRNA from 1 species
GUGGGGGAUAUUGCACAAUGGGCGAAAGCCUGAUGCAGCGACGCCGCGUGAAGGAAGAAGUAUUUCGGUAUGUAAACUUCUAUCAGCGGGGAAGAAGAUGACGGUACCCGACUAAGAAGCCCCGGCUAACUACGUGCCAGCAGCCGCGGUAAUACGUAGGGGGCAAGCGUUAUCCGGAUUUACUGGGUGUAAAGGGAGCGUAGACGGCAGGGCAAGUCCGAUGUGAAAACCCGGGGCUCAACCGCGGGAUUGCAUUGGAAACUGCUCGGCUCGAGUACUGGAGGGGUAAGCGGAAUUCCUAGUGUAGCGGUGAAAUGCGUAGAUAUUAGGAGGAACACCGGCGGCGAAGGCGGCUUACUGGACAGUAACUGACGUUGAGGCUCGAAAGCGUGGGGAGCAAACAGGAUUAGAAACCCUAGUAGUCC